rnacentral:miRNA from 1 species
AGAGGUGACCAUUGGAGAUG